rnacentral:pre_miRNA from 1 species
AGAAACCUGAAAACUACAAUUAGAUUUAAAAAUAGACGUAUGAAGAUUUGACCAUGUCAUCAAGAGUAAAAAAUUUACUCCUAGUAAAAUUUUUACUUAUGGUUGAAUCUGCGAUUAAAAUUUUUACUCCAGAUGACGUGGACAAAUCUCAGAUAUUCAUUUUUGGUUACAACGGUAGUUUAUAGGUUUUC